GGGCGUGUAGCUCAGCUGGGAGAGCGCUACCUUCGCAAGGUAGAGGUCGUGGGUUCGAUCCCCAUCACGUCCACCA
rnacentral:tRNA from 3 species